rnacentral:lncRNA from 1 species
UGUUUUUGCUACAUCUCUCUGCUAGGUACGUAGCUCAGCUCGUCCUAUAUAAACGGCCAUAGGUAAACCUGCAGAAAAUUCAGAUUAACCCAAACAUCUGUGACAAAUCAGUUAAGUAGCUUAAUUAGUUAGCAAGGAUCAUCGGAGGAUCGGCGAUGGCGGCGGUGCUUAGGGCCACCGGUGGCCGGCGGCUGGCGGCGGUGCUCGUCCUGAUGCUAUUCGUCUUGGCGGCGGCGCUGCUGGAGGCGCCGGUGAUGGCCUCCGCCGCGAGGGUGUUGCUUCAAAGUGGACUGCUUCCGACUCCGUAUCCGACCUGCAAUCCAGGCCAAUAUUCAUGCCCACCGCCUACUACUGUGCCAUGAUUAUAAGCUGUACGCCGUUGGUUAUUAGUUUACUUUUAACCAACCAACAGCAUAUAAUGAAAUAGUUAUCGUUCCUACAGAGUUUCUUCUCUACAACUUAAGAUAUAUUUCAAAUAAAAUAUUUAUUUGCAUGUGAUGUUUGAGAGCCAUGCAAAUAUGUAAUACCUCGAUCUGCGUGUACUACAGCCUGGCCUACGACCAGUGGAAGCUGCAGUGUGAGGCAAUAAUGUUUUUAUAUAUUUCCAUGCAUGUAUUAAUUGCGCUUCCAUAUAUCAUACUAUAUACAAAAGGAAAUUUU